rnacentral:rRNA from 1 species
GAACGAUGAACCCGAAGCUUGCUUUGGGGGAUUAGUGGCGAACGGGUGAGUAACACGUGAGCAACCUGCCCCUCACUCUGGGAUAAGCGCUGGAAACGGCGUCUAAUACUGGAUACGAGUCGCAACCGCAUGGUUAGUGACUGGAAAGAUUUUUUGGUGGGGGAUGGGCUCGCGGCCUAUCAGCUUGUUGGUGAGGUAAUGGCUCACCAAGGCGUCGACGGGUAGCCGGCCUGAGAGGGUGACCGGCCACACUGGGACUGAGACACGGCCCAGACUCCUACGGGAGGCAGCAGUGGGGAAUAUUGCACAAUGGGCGGAAGCCUGAUGCAGCAACGCCGCGUGAGGGAUGACGGCCUUCGGGUUGUAAACCUCUUUUAGCAGGGAAGAAGCGAAAGUGACGGUACCUGCAGAAAAAGCACCGGCUAACUACGUGCCAGCAGCCGCGGUAAUACGUAGGGUGCAAGCGUUAUCCGGAAUUAUUGGGCGUAAAGAGCUCGUAGGCGGUUUGUCGCGUCUGCUGUGAAAUCCCGAGGCUCAACCUCGGGCCUGCAGUGGGUACGGGCAGACUAGAGUGCGGUAGGGGAGAUUGGAAUUCCUGGUGUAGCGGUGGAAUGCGCAGAUAUCAGGAGGAACACCGAUGGCGAAGGCAGAUCUCUGGGCC